CAUUUGUUCGAAGUGGAGAGAGCAUGGAAAAUGCAUUACGUGCUUGCUGCAAAGGGAUAAAAAUUGGAAAAAUUCUGAUCCACCGAGAUGGAGACAAUGGGAAACAGCUUAUAUAUGAGAAGCUUCCCAAGGAUAUAUCUGAACGUCAUGUUUUG